rnacentral:rRNA from 1 species
CAGGUUUACCUGUGUGACUGCGUACCUUUUGUAUAAUGGGUCAGCGACUUAUAUUCUGUAGCAAGGUUAACCGUAUAGGGGAGCCGUAGGGAAACCGAGUCUUAACCGGGCGUUAAGUUGCAGGGUAUAGACCCGAAACCCGGUGAUCUAGCCAUGGGCAGGUUGAAGGUUGGGUAACACUAACUGGAGGACCGAACCGACUAAUGUUGAAAAAUUAGCGGAUGACCUGUGGCUGGGGGUGAAAGGCCAAUCAAACCGGGAGAUAGCUGGUUCUCCCCGAAAGCUAUUUAGGUAGCGCCUCGUGAAUUCAUCUCCGGGGGUAGAGCACUGUUUCGGCUAGGGGGCCAUCCCGGCUUACCAACCCGAUGCAAACUGCGAAUACCGGAGAAUGUUAUCACGGGAGACACACGGCGGGUGCUAACGUCCGUCGUGAAGAGGGAAACAACCCAGACCGCCAGCUAAGGUCCCAAAGUCAUGGUUAAGUGGGAAACGAUGUGGGAAGGCCCAGACAGCCAGGAUGUUGGCUUAGAAGCAGCCAUCAUUUAAAGAAAGCGUAAUAGCUCACUGGUCGAGUCGGCCUGCGCGGAAGAUGUAACGGGGCUAAACCAUGCACCGAAGCUGCGGCAGCGACGCUGAUGCGUUGUUGGGUAGGGGAGCGUUCUGUAAGCCUGC